rnacentral:rRNA from 1 species
UACAGAGGGUGCAAACGUUGUUCGGAAUUACUGGGCGUAAAGCGCGUGCAGGCGGCCUUGCAAGUCGGACGUGAAAUCCCACGGCUCAACCGUGGAAGUGCACUCGAAACUGCGUAGCUAGAGUCCUGGAGAGGAAGGUGGAAUGCUUGGUGUAGAGGUGAAAUUCGUAGAUAUCAAGCGGAACACCGGUGGCGAAGGCGGCCUUCUGGACAGUGACUGACGCUGAGACGCGAAAGCGUGGGGAGCAAACAGG